GAUGCCUCCCAUGCUUUUCCAUCUUAUCUUUCUGGACAGCAAAAAUGUUAUUUUGGCCAACAUCCUUGCUUUUAGUCAGUGUUCUUACAGGUGCCCAAUCUGAGGUUCACCUGAUUGAGUCUGGUGGGGAUGUGAGAAGACCUGGGGAGUCACUUCAUCUUAUCUGCCAAGCCUCUGGAUUCACCUUCAGUGAUUACAGCAUGCAUUGGAUGAGACAGGUUCAUGGGAAAGGGCCAGUAUGGGUGGCACAUAUACGCUAUGAUUCUACAUCUUUUCACUAUUCUGAUGAAGUCAAGGGUCGCUUCACCAUAUCCAAGGACAAUGACAAAGAGCAGCUGCAUCUGCAAAUGAACAGCCUGAAGCCUGAAGACACAGCUGUCUAUUACUGUACAAGAGACACAGUGAGACGAAAUGCUUCUGAAAGUGCUUCUUAA